CUCUGCCAGGGCUGGCAGGAGGAUUGUGGCCUACCCUGGGAUUUAAUCACAGCUCUGCAGUAUGCGUACUGCUGGAGUGCAGGGCAGGGGAUGGUUCUGAACCGAGCUGUGGGGGUUUCUGUGAGAAAGCAGUGGUUGACUAAAUGAGGACUAACUGCAGCCCUGCUGGUGCACAGCCUCUAACUGUUUGAAGUUGGUAGCCUUUCUUUCAGAGCUUCCGACACACUCAGCAGCAGCCUGCCAGUGCCGUGCUGCAUGCUCACAGGCUGGAAGCAGUGAGUUGCUGGGGGAACUGCCCGCUGUGCCCCUGCACUGCGCAGGCCCCAGCAGCUCUCCUGCUGCAACCUGGCAUUUCCACAUGCUGCAUUGCACCUCCUCCUCACUUUUGCCCGAUAAGCACACUGAUGGCAGCUAAGAAAGAUGAGAGAAUGACAGCUUGAGAGUGAGUGUGGUGAAAGCUGGGUGCCUUGAGCUCUAGCUUGAGCUGCAAUUCCCUUCCAUCGCAGCAAACCCACAAGAGUCUUUCUGCCAUGUUCUCCUUUCAGGACUUGCCCACCUGACUCCUGGCUCAGCAAUGAGAAAUGGAAGUACAGGAAUUCCCAUGGUGAAUGCUGGAGGGAGAGAGCUCUCUUAAGAGUGAAGUUUAACAGCUAAGGGAACAGUUACAUAAAAAGGAUGAAUGAGCAACAACAAAAGAGGAAGGCUGGGAUCAUAUAAUCUGAAAACUGGAACCACCAUUUAUGAUUUCCUAUUUAGGAUUUUGAGGUGGACAUCUGCCAAGGCUCAAGCCACUGGAAAAAGGUCUGGUCCUCUGGAGGGAACAGCAAAUAGCCUCUAGACCUUGAAGCCAGAAAUCCAUACACUUUCUCCAUUGAGGUCCCUGGAAAUUGUCAUGCUUAAUUCCCUGGCUCAAAAUUCAGAUAGCGUGGGAACCUGUUGGAGAAGCAGCAGAUUAGUUAGCCUCAGUUCCCCACAAGCUCACUGAGUUUUCAUUCAGCUGCUGUGUUUGAGGCCUGCCUACUUCUGAGCUUAAUCAUUCUUCAAAUAUCUUCUGAACUAACAAUUCAGAACAUUGACAUAUGUAAAUUCAUGGGGUUUGCUGAAGCAGUUUGCUUAUAGCUUCAUUGACCUUGGAAGCAAUAAGCAAUAGUGUUUUCAGAG
ensembl:lncRNA